CUUUUUACCUUUAAGACAGUGUCGCAGUAAAUGGCUCGGGCUGGUGUUGAACUUCGCAUCCUCCUGUCUUCCUCUCUCUGAUCUUACAUCAUUCAGGCAGGCCUUGUGUGUGAAGAUGACCUUGAACUCCUGAUUUGUCUGCUUUACACUCACUGAGAGCAGGAAUUACAGUCCAGAUUCAUAUGGAAGCAACAUUUCCUCUUCAAGCAAAACACAAGUCCCUCCAUGUUCAGCAGUCAGUAAGUCCAGGGCCCUCCAAUUUUGGAGAACAACUCCCGCUAAGGAGGUUAUCCAGUGUUGAAGGCUGUGUAAAGUGACCGUUUCCUGGUUUAGCUCAUCCUGGAAGUCAUUGGCCAGAUGUGUUUGGA